AAAGGGCUGGCGGCCGAUCCGCCGCCAGCCGCCCGAGGGUGGGGGCACGGCCCAUCAGGUAGUUGGCGGGUUAAAGGCCCGCCAAGCCGAAGACGGGUAGGGGCGGUGAGAGCCGCGAGCCCCGAGAUGGGCACUGAGACAAGGGCCCAGGCCCUACGGGGUGCAGCAGGCGCGAAUACUCCGCAAUGCGGGAAACCGCGACGGGGCUACCCCGAGUGCCGGGCGAAGAGCCCGGCUUUUGCCCGGUCUAAAAAGCCGGGAGAAUAAGCGGGGGGCAAGUCUGGUGUCAGCCGCCGCGGUAAUACCAGCUCCGCGAGUGGUCGGGGUGUUUACUGGGCUUAAAGCGCCCGUAGCCGGCCCGGCAAGUCGCUCCUGAAAUCCCCGGGCUCAACCCGGGGGCAGGGGGCGAUACUGCCGGGCUAGGGGGCGGGAGAGGCCGCCGGUACUCCGGGGGUAGGGGCGAAAUCCGUUAAUCCCCGGAGGACCACCAGUGGCGAAAGCGGGCGGCCAGAACGCGCCCGACGGUGAGGGGCGAAAGCCGGGGGAGCAAAGGGGAUUAGAUACCCCUGUAGUCCCGGCCGUAAACGAUGCGGGCUAGCUGUCGGUCGGGCUUAGGGCCCGGCCGGUGGCGAAGGGAAACCGUUAAGCCCGCCGCCUGGGGAGUACGGCCGCAAGGCUGAAACUUAAAGGAAUUGGCGGGGGGGCACCACAAGGGGUGAAGCUUGCGGCUUAAUUGGAGUCAACGCCGGAAACCUCACCCGGGGCGACAGCAGGAUGAAGGCCAGGCUAACGACCUUGCCGGACGAGCUGAGAGGAGGUGCAUGGCCGUCGUCAGCUCGUGCCGUGAGGUGUCCGGUUAAGUCCGGCAACGAGCGAGACCC
rnacentral:rRNA from 1 species